rnacentral:rRNA from 1 species
AACGAACGCUGGCGGCAGGCCUAACACAUGCAAGUCGAGCGCCCUUUCGGGGGAGCGGCGGACGGGUGAGUAACGCGUGGGAAUAUGCCCUUCUCUACGGAAUAGCCUCGGGAAACUGAGAGUAAUACCGUAUACGCCCUGUGGGGGAAAGAUUUAUCGGGGAAGGAUUAGCCCGCGUUGGAUUAGGUAGUUGGUGGGUAAUGGCCUACCAAGCCGACGAUCCAUAGCUGGUUUGAGAGGAUGAUCAGCCACACUGGGACUGAGACACGGCCCAGACUCCUACGGGAGGCAGCAGUGGGGAAUCUUAGACAAUGGGGGCAACCCUGAUCUAGCCAUGCCGCGUGAGUGAUGAAGGCCUUAGGGUUGUAAAGCUCUUUCAGCUGGGAAGAUAAUGACGGUACCAGCAGAAGAAGCCCCGGCUAACUCCGUG